rnacentral:ncRNA from 1 species
UGACCUCGAAUCAGGUAGGAAUACCCGCUGAACUUAAGCAUAUCAAUAAGCGGAGGAAAAGAAACCAACAGGGAUUGCCCCAGUAACGGCGAGUGAAGCGGCAACAGCUCAAAUUUGAAAUCUGGCCCCCCGGGGCCCGAGUUGUAAUUUGUAGAGGAUGCUUCUGGCGAGGUGCCUUCCGAGUUCCCUGGAACGGGACGCCAUAGAGGGUGAGAGCCCCGUCUGGCUGGACGCCGAGCCUCUGUGAAGCUCCUUCGACGAGUCGAGUAGUUUGGGAAUGCUGCUCUAAAUGGGAGGUAUAUGUCUUCUAAAGCUAAAUACCGGCCAGAGACCGAUAGCGCACAAGUAGAGUGAUCGAAAGAUGAAAAGCACUUUGAAAAGAGGGUUAAACAGUACGUGAAAUUGUUGAAAGGGAAGCGCUCGUGACCAGACGUGGGCCUCGGCGGAUCAUCCAGCGGUCUCCCGCUGGUGCACUCCGCCGGGCCCAGGCCAGCAUCAGUUUGCCCUGGGGGGUAAGCCGGCUGACUUGGCUUUGACUUUGCUUCCGUCUCUGUUUUCUUCUCAUUCCCCCCUCUGCAAAGGUGAGCGGAUCGGGGCUCGUGGGUGUUUGGUUUGUAUGGGCGGGAGCGCACCUUUUGUUUUUCGCCAUACAAAUCGACGCUUUCGGGACGAGAAAAGUAGGCCGGGUGGGUGAGGUAGGAAUACCCGCUGAACUUAAGCAUAUCAAUAAGCGGAGGAAAAGAAACCAACAGGGAUUGCCCCAGUAACGGCGAGUGAAGCGGCAACAGCUCAAAUUUGAAAUCUGGCCCCCCGGGGCCCGAGUUGUAAUUUGUAGAGGAUGCUUCUGGCGAGGUGCCUUCCGAGUUCCCUGGAACGGGACGCCAUAGAGGGUGAGAGCCCCGUCUCUAGACGGGCGGCGACGACGACGACGAGUACGAGGACGACGAGAUUGCCUCUGCGUCUGCGAGGGCCGAGACGGUGCAGGGUAAGCCGGCUGACUUGGCUUUGACUUUGCUUCCGUCUCUGUUUUCUUCUCAUUCCCCCCUCUGCAAAGGUGAGCGGAUCGGGGCUCGUGGGUGUUUGGUUUGUAUGGAGUCAUCAGCUUGCGUUGAUUACGUCCCUGCCCUUUGUACACACCGCCCGUCGCUACUACCGAUUGAAUGGCUCAGUGAGGCGUCCGGACUGGCCCAGAGAGGUGGGCAACUACCACUCAGGGCCGGAAAGCUCUCCAAACUCGGUCAUUUAGAGGAAGUAAAAGUCGUAACAAGGUCUCCGUUGGUGAACCAGCGGAGGGAUCAUUACCGAGUUUUUACGCUCCAAACCCCAUGUGAACCUAUACCUACGCCGUUGCUUCGGCGGGCUUUCAAGCCCCGGGCAGCCGCCUCCCCCCCGACGCCCUCGCGCCUGGGAGGGGGAGGGCACCCGGAACCAGGCGCCCGCCGGAGGAUACAACAAUCCUUUGCAGACGACUUAGCUGUGCGAAACGGUCCUGUGAGCAGUAGAGUAGCCUUGUUGUUACGAUCUGCUGAGGGUCAGCCGUCACUUCGCCUCGAUUUCCCCGACGAUGCCGCUGGGUCUCUCGCUGCGGCGAGGCCCCAGCGGGUCGUGGGGGGGGACUGUGCAGGGGAGGGAGAGGGAGAGGGAGAGCUCGCCCGCCUAGACGGGCGGCGACGACGACGA